rnacentral:rRNA from 1 species
GGACUACUAGGGUUUCUAAUCCCGUUUGCUCCCCUAGCUUUCGCGCCUCAGCGUCAGUAUUGGGCCAGAUGAGCGCUUUCGCCACCGGUGUUCCUCCUGAUAUCUACGCAUUUCACCGCUACACCAGGAAUUCCCUCAUCCUCUCCCAUACUCGAGCCAAGCAGUUUGGAAUGCAGGUCCCCGGGUGAGCCGGGGCAUUUCACAUUCCACUUACUCGACCGCCUACACGCCCUUUACGCCCAGUGAUUCCGAACAACGCUUGCUCCCCCCGUGUUACCGCGGCGGCUGGCAC